rnacentral:tRNA from 1 species
GGCCUCGCAGCUCAGAUGGUAGAGCACUCGGGGUACUAACGCGAAGGUGGUGGCCAUGCGCGGGUUCGAAUCCCGCUGGGUCCA